rnacentral:rRNA from 1 species
UUAAGCGACUAAGCGUACACGGUGGAUGCCCUGGCAGUCAGAGGCGAUGAAGGACGUGCUAAUCUGCGAAAAGCGUCGGUAAGGUGAUAUGAACCGUUAUAACCGGCGAUGUCCGAAUGGGGAAACCCAGUGCAAUUCGUUGCACUAUCGUUAACUGAAUACAUAGGUUAACGAGGCGAACCGGGGGAACUGAAACAUCUAAGUACCCCGAGGAAAAGAAAUCAACCGAGAUUCCCCCAGUAGCGGCGAGCGAACGGGGAGCAGCCCAGAGUCUGAAUCAGCUUGUGUGUUAGUGGAACGGUCUGGAAAGUCCGACGGUACAGGGUGAUAGUCCCGUACACCAAAAUGCACAGGCUGUGAACUCGAAGAGUAGGGCGGGACACGUGGUAUCCUGUCUGAAUAUGGGGGGACCAUCCUCCAAGGCUAAAUACUCCUGACUGACCGAUAGUGAACCAGUACCGUGAGGGAAAGGCGAAAAGAACCCCGGCGAGGGGAGUGAAAAAGAACCUGAAACCGUGUACGUACAAGCAGUGGGAGCACCUUCGGGUGUGACUGCGUACCUUUUGUAUAAUGGGUCAGCGACUUAUAUUCUGUAGCAAGGUUAACCGUAUAGGGGAGCCGCAGGGAAACCGAGUCUUAACUGGGCGUUAAGUUGCAGGGUAUAGACCCGAAACCCGGUGAUCUAGCCAUGGGCAGGUUGAAGGUUGGGUAACACUAACUGGAGGACCGAACCGACUAAUGUUGAAAAAUUAGCGGAUGACUUGUGGCUGGGGGUGAAAGGCCAAUCAAACCGGGAGAUAGCUGGUUCUCCCCGAAAGCUAUUUAGGUAGCGCCUCGUGAACUCAUCUUCGGGGGUAGAGCACUGUUUCGGCUAGGGGGUCAUCCCGACUUACCAACCCGAUGCAAACUACGAAUACCGAAGAAUGUUAUCACGGGAGACACACGGCGGGUGCUAACGUCCGUCGUGAAGAAACAACCCAGACCGCCAGCUAAGGUCCCAAAGUCAUGGUUAAGUGGAAACGAUGUGGGAAGGCACAGACAGCGGGAUGUUGGCUUAGAAGCAGCCAUCAUUUAAAGAAAGCGUAAUAGCUCACUGGUCGAGUCGGCCUGCGCGGAAGAUGUAACGGGCUAAACCAUGCACCGAAGCUGCGGCAGCGACACUAUGUGUUGUUGGGUAGGGAGCGUUCUGUAAGCCUGCGAAGGUGACCUGUGAGGGUUGCUGGAGGUAUCAGAAGUGCGAAUGCUGACAUAAGUAACGAUAAAGCGGGUGAAAAGCCCGCUCGCCGGAAGACCAAGGGUUCCUGUCCAACGUUAAUCGGGGCAGGGUGAGUCGACCCCUAAGGCGAGGCCGAAAGGCGUAGUCGAUGGGAAACAGGUUAAUAUUCCUGUACUUGGUGUUACUGCGAAGGGGGGACGGAGAAGGCUAUGUUAGCCGGGCGACGGUUGUCCCGGUUUAAGCAUGUAGGCUGGUUGUCGGGCAAAUCCGGAUAAUCAAGGCUGAGGUGUGAUGACGAGGUACUACGGUGCUGAAGUAACAAAUGCCCUGCUUCGGGAAAAGCCUCUAAGCAUCAGGUAACAUCAAAUCGUACCCCAAACCGACACAGGUGGUCAGGUAGAGAAUACCAAGGCGCUUGAGAGAACUCGGGUGAAGGAACUAGGCAAAAUGGUGCCGUAACUUCGGGAGAAGGCACGCUGGUGUGUAGGUGAAGUCCCUGCGGAUGGAGCUGAGACCAGUCGAAGAUACCAGCUGGCUGCAACUGUUUAUUAAAAACACAGCACUGUGCAAACACGAAAGUGGACGUAUACGGUGUGACGCCUGCCCGGUGCCGGAAGGUUAAUUGAUGGGGUUAUCCGUAAGGAGAAGCUCUUGAUCGAAGCCCCGGUAAACGGCGGCCGUAACUAUAACGGUCCUAAGGUAGCGAAAUUCCUUGUCGGGUAAGUUCCGACCUGCACGAAUGGCGUAAUGAUGGCGGGCUGUCUCCACCCGAGACUCAGUGAAAUUGAACUCGCUGUGAAGAUGCAGUGUACCCGCGGCAAGACGGAAAGACCCGUGAACCUUUACUAUAGCUUGACACUGAACAUUGAGCCUUGAUGUGUAGGAUAGGUGGGAGGCUUUGAAGCGUGGACGCCAGUCUGCGUGGAGCCAACGAAAUACCACCCUUUAAUGUUUGAUGUUCUAACGUUGGCCCCUGACCGGGGUUGCGGACAGUGUCUGGUGGGUAGUUUGACUGGGGCGGUCUCCUCCCAAAGCGUAACGGAGGAGCACGAAGGUUAGCUAAUCGGUCGGACAUCAGGAGGUUAGUGCAAUGGCAUAAGCUAGCUUGACUGCGAGCGUGACGGCGCGAGCAGGUGCAGCAGGUCAUAGUGAUCCGGUGGUUCUGAAUGGAAGGGCCAUCGCUCAACGGAUAAAAGGUACUCCGGGGAUAACAGGCUGAUACCGCCCAAGAGUUCAUAUCGACGGCGGUGUUUGGCACCUCGAUGUCGGCUCAUCACAUCCUGGGGCUGAAGUAGGUCCCAAGGGUAUGGCUGUUCGCCAUUUAAAGUGGUACGCGAGCUGGGUUUAGAACGUCGUGAGACAGUUCGGUCCCUAUCUGCCGUGGGCGCUGGAGAAUUGAGGGGGGCUGCUCCUAGUACGAGAGGACCGGAGUGGACGCAUCACUGGUGUUCGGGUUGUCAUGCCAAUGGCACUGCCCGGUAGCUAAAUGCGGAAGAGAUAAGUGCUGAAAGCAUCUAAGCACGAAACUUGCCCCGAGAUGAGUUCUCCCUGAGACUUUAAGUCUCCUGAAGGAACGUUAAAGACGAUGACGUUGAUAGGCCGGGUGUGUAAGCGCAGCGAUGCGUUGAGCUAACCGGUACUAAUGAACCGUGAGGCUUAACCU